ensembl:miRNA
GAACGCACUCGUACUUUCAGUGAGCGUUAACAUGAAUCACUGUUGAGCGAGUGGGUGCCG